rfam:Acidomonas methanolica NBRC 104435 DNA, contig: Amme_064.
CCUCUUGCGCGUAUCGACCCGCCAUUCUAUAUCUGCCAUCGCCGGAGUGUUCACGCACUUGGCUAUGGCGAUAAACGGCUCGUGGAAUAAACGUUGUGGACCCGGGGGCAGUGCCCGGCGUCUCCACCAUUCUCUCUCCCGGCUUCCGUCAGGACCGGGAACCGAUGGGGACGAAACAGGCUCGACACGCGCAGUAAAGACCAGUCUUUUGCCCGGCAUUGUACCGCCGUUAUCGGGCUGACCUACAAGUGCCAACGACAAUUCGAAGGUGCUCGCUGUCGCUGCAUAAGCGAUAAGCGCGGUUCGGGAGGGCACCGGGCAACAGAAGCCCUCCCACC